ACCUACGGGGGGCAGCAGUAGGGAAUUUUCGUCAAUGGGCGCAAGCCUGAACGAGCAAUGCCGCGUGAACGAGGAAGGUCUUCGGAUCGUAAAGUUCUGUUGAAGGGGAAAAAGAGCGGAGAGGGGAAAUGGUCUCCGAUUGAUAUUACCCUUCGAGGAAGUCACGGCUAACUACGUGCCAGCAGCCGCGGUAAUACGUAGGUGGCGAGCGUUAUCCGGAAUGAUUGGGCGUAAAGGGUGCGUAGGCGGCCUGCUAAGUCUGGAGUGAAAGGUACCGGCUCAACCGGUACAGGCUCUGGAAACUG
rnacentral:rRNA from 1 species